rnacentral:rRNA from 1 species
GAUGAACGCUGGCGGCGUGCCUAAUACAUGCAAGUCGAGCGAACGGACGAGAAGCUUGCUUCUCUGAUGUUAGCGGCGGACGGGUGAGUAACACGUGGAUAACCUACCUAUAAGACUGGGAUAACUUCGGGAAACCGGUGCUAAUACCGGAUAAUAUUUUGAACCGCAUGGUUCAAAAGUGAAAGACGGUCUUGCUGUCACUUAUAGAUGGAUCCGCGCUGCAUUAGCUAGUUGGUAAGGUAACGGCUUACCAAGGCAACGAUGCAUAGCCGACCUGAGAGGGUGAUCGGCCACACUGGAACUGAGACACGGUCCAGACUCCUACGGGAGGCAGCAGUAGGGAAUCUUCCGCAAUGGGCGAAAGCCUGACGGAGCAACGCCGCGUGAGUGAUGAAGGUCUUCGGAUCGUAAAACUCUGUUAUUAGGGAAGAACAUAUGUGUAAGUAACUGUGCACAUCUUGACGGUACCUAAUCAGAAAGCCACGGCUAACUACGU